rnacentral:lncRNA from 1 species
ACCGAUCCGUCCCUGGGCCAUGGCAUGAGAUUCGCCUCAGGUAUAAUUACCUCGUUCGGACUCCCGUACCAUUUAGCCCGACCAACCUCAGAGGCUUGUUGUGAGAACGAAGUGGGGCGGGGAAUAGAAAAGAGGCCACCGCCAGCUCACUGGAGGAAAAGUCGGCCCAGAAAUAAAUUGGUAAACUCUGGGAAGAUUAAGAGAUCAUCAAGGUCCAGGGUGGUCGCCUAGGGUGAGCCCAGAAGGAGAAAAGGCGAUCACCUCCCCAUUCCCAGAUCGAAGUUCAGAAAAGUUACUUUUUUUGAACUACAGUUCCCAGAACCUACCAUUCUACUACUAUGCCGGAAACUGUCAUCCAGAAAAGUUACUCUCUGGACUUUGCCCCCAGGGGGGAAUCCAUCCGUAAGAGAAGGAGAAAUGGUUUUGCAUACGUCGAGCAGGAACUGGAAGGGUGGAGAAAUUCAAGAGAACUGGGAAAGGUGCUGCUGCCAUUGUGCAUCAUCAUCAUCAUCAUCAUCAUCAUCAUCAUCAUCAUCAUCAUCAUCAUCAUCAUCAAAUAGUGCCUGUUUUUUGUUUCUAUGUUUUUUGCAUUAAUAUGCCGUUUAAUUCUGGAGGUGGAUGGGGUACAUUUGCGAUUGAAGUCGCACCGAAAGCAUAGGAAACAUUUACUCCUGCGUAAACGCGCGCAAGCUUGCCAUAGGAAACGUGAGAUCCUUGGUGCAAAUAAGUCGCAGCUUUGGAUCAAGAGAGCUGGCUGCAAGAAACGAUGCUCCGGGUCCUUUGUUUGUUUGUUUUAAACCUCUUGGUUGCAAAACACAACACACUUUUGCGGCGCGUUUCCGGUGAUGAGUCCCCCCCAAAAAGGCAUCUUUGCGCGCCCGCGCAGGAAUCCGCCACUUUUCCCCAGGAUCGCUUGACUGCGGUCAGGGCGACAUCUAGCGACCACUUUCAGAACUGCGCUUAGAAGAAACCGCUCUGCGAAGUCCCGGGAGCCGAGAAUCCAUCCCAGGUUUUCGGAAUGCCAAUGCCACCUUUUGUGAAAGGUGAACUCCAGAUACAGGUGAGCGGAUCUGCACCAAAUCCUGGACUGGAUUCUUUUCCUCCUCCUACGUCCCAGACUGCGGAUAGUAGACAGCUCUGGGUACGGAAGAAGAACGUUUUAGGAAGGGUUUAGCCAGGGGUAGAUUCCCUUGCGCCUGCAGGCUUUCAUAUACAUAUAAAAUGCUGUGGUUCUCCAAAACAUUUUGUGUCAUAAAAACACAGGCCCCGAAAGGCAUGACCACUGCAAUUUUAUUCUCCAAACACUGGGUCGUGGGGCGAAAGCCCUCUGCUCAUGUUCAGAGGCGGUCUUUUCUUCUGCUUUCACAUCACCGGUUUUGGGGAAAUAAUUAUUCGAGAAAUAUCCAGCGAUAUUAGUCUGCAGAUCAUUGCAAAAAUAAACGAAUUGUGAGAUCUUAAAAACCA